rnacentral:rRNA from 1 species
CAGCCGCCACGGUAAUACGAGGGGUGCAAGCGUUACCCGGAAUUACUGGGCGUAAAGCGUGCGUAGGUGGUGGUUUAAGUCCGUUGUGAAAGCCCUGGGCUCAACCUGGGAAUUGCAGUGGAUACUGGAUCACUAGAGUGUGGUAGAGGAUAGUGGAAUUUCCGGUGUAGCAGUGAAAUGCGUAGAGAUCGGAAGGAACAUCUGUGGCGAAGGCGACUAUCUGGGCCAACACUGACACUGAGGCACGAAAGCGUGGGGAGCAAACAGGAUUAGAUACCCCGGUAGUCCCUGUCUCUUAUAC